rnacentral:lncRNA from 1 species
GAGGACCGCGGGAGUCAUCCGGGGAGAGAGCGGUGUUUACAGCUGUGGAGUGGCAUGAGCUCACCCCGCAGUGGGGAGACCUCAGAGGCGGCGGGCGUGCCCGCAGGCAUGAGUGUCCAAGCGUCUGUCUCCCUGUCUGCCCCCAUCUCUUGUCUCCCUCUCCCUUGUCGCUGUCUCUCUGGAUCUUUCCCCGACCCUGUCUUUCUCUGGCCCUGCCAAUCUUUCUUUCUUUUGACAGGGAGACAGAGACACAGAAAUUGAGAAGUAAGGAAAGGAAGGCCCAGGGGCAAAGAGGUUAUGUAGCACCUCAGAAGUCGGUUUAAAAAGACAGACUGAAAGACAGAGUUUGGAUUUUCCCCCAGCUUGAGUCAACUCCACUCCCAGCCUCCCUCUCUGAAGGGGCAGCACCCCAUUCCCUCCUGAGCGCCACCAAACCCCAGGGGUCCCCUGGAUUCUUCUUGCAGUGGCUGCAGUCUAUCAGUAAGCCCUUUAGGGGUAUGCCCCCAAUAAACUCCAGCCAGCCAGACCUGCCCAGCGGGACCAGCCCCAUUCGCUGGGCUCCUCAUUCUGACCUUGUCCCUCUCAAGUCUGUUUCCUGGGUGGAUGAGGCUCCUGAGUGAACUCCAGGUCCCCUGCGGUGGCCCUGCUUCCUUCCUCUGGGCUGCCCUGUGGUCUGUUCCACAGUCUUCUACACUCUGCCCUCACUCUCUCCCUAGAGGACCCCCAUCCCUCAGGUUGUGUCCAGUGUCCUUCCUCAGAGAGGCUUUCCCUGGUCCCUCCCAAACUAAUACAGGUCCUCACUCCUCUAUUUAUCCUCCCUUCCUUCCUUCCUUCCUUCCUUCCUCCGUCCCUCCCUCCCUCCCUCCCUCCCUCUCCCACUUCUUCUCUUUCUCUAUUUUCCCUUCUCAUCGAGUCCUGCACACCUCCUCCGAGCCCUUGGCACAGUCGAUGCACAUGUUAUUUCUUGUAUAUUUAUUCUUCUAACACCUGCUUCCCUCUCUAAGCUGGGAGCCCUUGGAGAGACAGAGCCCCUCCAGCUCAAAACCAUUCAUUGCACAUGUGUUGCACGGGUGGCUAAAGGGAGGUGCAGAAUCACUGAGACACACAGAGGCAAACAGAGACGGAUGGAGAGAGAAUGGUGAUAACCAACAAUAAUGAUAGCGCACACUAUCUAAUUAACAUUUUAAAUAUGAUAAAUUAAUUAUAGUCAAGCUGAGAGCUCGCUGUGUCAGGCUCUAUUUUAAGUGCCUCGUAAUACAGGUGGAGUAUCCCCUAUCCCAAGGCUCAGGACAAGAAGUUUUAUAUUUCAUUUUUAAAAAAUUUUUGGAAUAAUUGCACAAUGAGAUGAGUCAGGGAUGGGGCCCAAGUCUCAACAUGAAAUUCAUUUAAUUUCGUAUGCAUCUUAUAUAAGUAAUGUGA